UUUUCCCGCUGCAUAUGUACUUCACUGGCUUUCCACUGGUCUUUCAGUUGUGAGUCUCUAACCCUAACGGGACUUUGUUAUGCUGUGCAGAAAGAAGAGGAAGCCUGAGAGCACGUCUUACCUGAAUGUGGCGCGCUGCGAUAGGUUCGUAAAAUCGCAGCUGGACUGGAUACUGAUGUCCAUUUCUUCGCUGUUCCGCGGCAAUGGGUUCGUUAUAAAAGGCGCUCGUCGCAUAUGCCAAUCUCAUCCUCUUAUUCGGAUUCCGACUCACAACCAUCAGUUAAGUAAUAUAUUUAUUCUACCUUGCUUUCGGAUUGCGCUGUCCGCAGAGCGAAUGCGCGAUUGCAAAUCCCGCCGGCAAAGCCAACUACGUCACCGGAAGCCAAGAACGCGGGGGCAGCUCGAGAGGGUCCCUUCGACCGGAAGUUAACAGUUGUUUUAGGAACCGACGUUUUUUGUGUUUUAUGGGAAAACCUCAACGAAUUUUGGAAAAACUACUAGCGUUAUUUACAUGGAGGGCAUUGUGAGGCAGAUGUUAGGUUUAGUUCAGAAACAUUGAAUCUUCGCGGACACCACCUUUAAAUCUCCAGAGGGGGCCACUGCCCCCAUUGCCCUGCUCUCGGUACACCCAUGUUUUGGGGGCUAAACGAAUCGGCACAGCGAAAGUGAAACCGUCCGUCUCUGGCACACAUGUACGAGGGGUGUUCGAGUCAAACCGGGACUUUCUGCCUCCUGAGUGUACAAAUGGCUCGCGCUAUUUCUUUUUCGUCAUUUUCACAUGCGAGUGUUUUUUUUUUUACACACAUUUCCCAGACAACACGCAAAGUCCCUCGGAUGUCCUGGCGUUCCCAUCACGUCCCAAAAAUAAGAAUGUCCCGCUGAAACUUUGUGGGGAUAUCCCACGCAUGUUUCAGCAGGACAAGACUCGGAAUAUCCCAUAGGCGUCUGGCCGGGAUAAUUUUUGUCCUUCUUCAUUUGGCUUCCUGAGCAGGUGAAAUUUCGGAACUGUGGUUACCAAUAAUAUCGCAUAAGUGUGUAUCUGAUCGUCUGAAAUAACGCUGUGCCUGAAGCAGAAAAAAAAAACGACAUAUAUCUGCAGUUAGACACGCUUACUGAAAAAUUCCACUGUACGUACAGGGCAGUCCCAAAACGUUGUACUGUACUUUAUUAUCCUUUGAUUAUACCAUUCAAUAAAUAUAUAUCCCCCCCCCCUUUGAUUAUACUGCACAACAACUUGCCCCAUCAAUGUGAAUGACCCCAUGACGAGCGCUGCCUGGCAAUGCGGCCAGGACCUACGCGCUAAGCGCGAUCUAGAUCCUGGUUUAUUAAAUUUUUGACAUGCAAUAUUUUCUGUAUCCCUCGCAAUGGGACCUGCGACAUAAAUUUGAAACGGCGCCUAAAUCGCUACGUUUUACAAUGAAAACGCAACUCCGCGACCCCAUUUCUUCGAGGAGAUUUGCAAAUCAACACGAUGUGUGAGGAUGUGUGUGCAUCUGCGUGGUCACAAAGUGGUGUUCACUUGUGUCGCUGACGCCGCUUCCACCACUAAAAAACAAACGCGCGAUGCGCGCACACGCAUCCGUCCAGCAAUACACUGCCGCGCUCGCUGGCUCCGUCAUAAAAGAAGUAGAAAGUCAGCAACCAUGGUCGGUACCCCGAGCGGUCAACGCAGGGCACUAAAGGCCGAUCCAAUCCAAUCCGUUAUUUGUUUUGUGGCGUUCGUUGCGGUGACCGUUUAUGGUGUUCAUGCGUGUACGUAAAUGCACAAAAUUUUCGGCAUCAAGGUAUUUAACUGUACUUACAAUGCCAUUAAUUUCGUUAUCUCCCAGCGCUGAUGUUACCGAGGUUUGCUUCUAGGGUAAUUUCGUUUAAUAGGCAGGCUGAUUCGUGCGUAGCCUGUUCUAUUGCCUAAAGAAGUGACUAGUCUGUUCAGCUUCUCUAUACUUAUUUGUUGUCGAUAAAAGUGUGAGAUGGCUGAUGGGUUUCUUCACUUUCACCGUAGAAUUUUCUGGUGAAGAACCAAAGCUUUUAACAUUUGAGGAUACCAGAAAGAAGUUCAUUUCUCCGGGCAGCAGCGACUGGUGCGAAAAAAAUUGCUCUUCGAGGUCCCAUAUUUACGUGAAAAGAUGAGUGACGUGGCCUGCUAAUCAGUUUCACCUGAGAAACUGAGAAUUUUACGAGCGCUCAUGAAGGACAAAGUAGCAACCUCCUCCAGCUCGCAGUGAGGCAAGGGGACGAUGAAGUUCUGCGACCUGUUAUGCUGUGAUUAAGUAUUAAAAUAUGUGUUUGCAUAUUCUGUAUAUCUGACUUGUCACCUGUGUUUCUGAAGCCAAGUCACGUUUUUAAUUAUAGGCACUGUAAUGCCAAACCGGCUGCUCAAGGACGUGACCCGCAGUAAAGGAGAGCAGCACAUAAAGUCCUGGCUGAGGCACGCCAAAGAACCUCAUGACAGGACGUCGACAAAAGAUAAGGGCUCGGAGUACUACACAGAACAGCAGCGACAGCUGGGCCAAUCCGUGCGAAACUCUUCAGGCCUAGCUUUGAGCCUAGAUUUCACGAGAGAAAAAAAUGUGCAUUCUCUGAGAGUGUGGUAGAUACACAUUUCUUUCCUCUGUAUAUUUGGCUCCAGACUGAGGGCUAUGCAGGUGUUGCCUUCAAAAUGAAAAGUGUUAUGCCAUUGUCAUCUCCAUGCAAUACACAUCGACAAUAUUAAUGGGUUUUCGUUAAUGUAUAAUGUUGGACAAAAAAAAAUUCAGCUCAUGAAACAGAAGGUGGGAUUAUCUUAAAGUUUAUUCCGUGUAGAGAGCUCGGGAGCAGACCAUAAUUGUGACAAAUAGUUAAUAACUUUUUGGUGAGGAUAAUAAGCUUGAUUGUGAAUAAUAAUAAUACGUAAAGACAACUCGAAUAUUGUUCGAGUUGUCUGCGUGUUCAUGUGUAUUGGAAGGUGACGACAAUAGAGCUAGAUAUAACUUUGCAACGUAGAAGGCCGCACAUAUAGGGUGUUUCACCUAUCGUGAUAAAUUCUAACCGUAGACGUACACGCCGUAUCGGAUUGUGGGAUUUUUGGCAAUUACCCUCUGGCAACUUUUGCAGACACUUUGGCUUUGCUGACGGCUUUGGACAAUUUUUAAUUGACGGAAAUUUAUGUUUUCAAUCAAAUUAAGAAAAUUGCCAAGCACACCCCUAUUUUUUAACAGAAAUAUGAAGUGCCCUCCGGAUGACCGCAGACCCAACAAAACCUAUGCGCAGUAUUAACAGAAACGGUCGAAAAAAGUAAAAGUGAUGCUUUAGUCCUGCCGACUUGAUUGUUGCAAAAAGCCAGCAGAUUAGUUGCAGGGAAGAAGUAUCCCCGCCUCUUGCUUUACCUUUCUUUUCCCUGGUUUGACCUUGAUGCACAAAGAAACGAAAAAAAAUCAAGGUGGGAACACUUCUUCCUCUUCCUGCACAUUUUGCGCACGGAUUUUUGCAACAAUAAAGCAGGUGGGGCUAUAGCAGCACUUUUGCUAAGACUUUUCAACUAUUUCAGUCACUAUACUGUGCAUAGUUUUCGUUACGUCUGCGGUUAUUCGUAGGAUCGCUUGGCAAUUUUCAAAGUUUUUCAUUGAAAAGAUCCCUGAAUUAAAAAUUGUCCAAAGCUUUCCAGAAUGGCAGCAAAAGAUUCCAGAAGGUAAUUGCAGAAAGUGCCACAAUCCUCUUGCAGGUACGUUGCCAAUACAAUCGUUUAUUACUUUAGGUGAAGCGCCCUCUAUGUAUACGUUCAUAAAAAAAGCAAAAAAAGAAACACCAGGAAUUUUCCUUGCAUAUGUCACCCUUCGGAGACUGCACUUGUUUCAAGCAAACUCCAAAGAGGCCAAAUUACACCUCUGCUUAUUUUCCGCAACCUGAUUACUAGUCAUGAUGGUGCGUUUAUUUCAUUCAUGAGCAUGUUGUGUAAUCCGGAACUGCUCAGAAUGUUUGAAAUUCCAUGCUAUAUUUUACAGCUGCUAUUGCAGCUCUUGUAGUGUUAUCUUGAACGCCCAAACUGGGCUCCUUACAUUUCAUCUUGGCCGAGGCCAACUGUAGACUACAGAAGAAUGAAGUGUGAAGUGCCCUAUAGAUGACGUUAUUCAUUUUAUUCAUUUAUGUAUUUUGUAAAGACUGCACUUGGCUCGCAUUGUCAUAUCGGACUCCUGAUACAUGUUUCUUGUUCGGGUUGUUUGUUAGCGACCACGCUGUCCAGAAGGGAGUAAAUAAGGUUCUCUUUGAAGUGAUUGGUAUUUUUGUGCAUAUUAUUGUAGCCAAAUAAUGUUCAUCGGCGCAGUUAAAGACUCAAGUAUCUGUAUCAGGAAUUGUGAAAAAUGGUUUUGCUCAGAUGACAAAGGUGGAAGGCACUUUUGAAGGCUCGUAGUACAACUUACCUCGACUGAAAUGACGAAUUUCUACAUGAAUCUGAUGUGUACUGCACGGAAGUGGCUUUGUGGUGUUUGCUCAUUUUUGCUAGGAGGUGCUUCGAACCAAUUAUGUGAUGACGGCGUUUGCUAGGUGCUACAGCGCAUUAAUGCGAUGACAUUAUUUACUCAUUUAUGCUGAAUGGUGCUUCAGCCCAUUGAUGUAGUGACGUUAAAUAACAGCACCAAGGUGAUGAUCCUUUAGUUCCAUACGCCAUGUGUACAUUUACAGAGCCUUUUCUAGAUAGAGGGAUGCCAUUUUCGGUCCAAAUAAGCAUAUCGACUAUUUGUUUAGCGUUAUGAAUAUUUCUAACUGCUGGCGCAAGAAUCGUUCGGCUUUUCCCUGCAUACAAGGCAAAGUGUGGUCUGACCCUGUAAGCCAUCCAGCCACCAUUAAUUCCGAAGCACCCCUUGUGGGCUUAAUGACUGAGAACACAGUUUCUGCUCGUCACUGCUAUAUGCAGACUACAAAUUGAUUUCACCUCUCAGCAGCUUCAGAUGUUGGUGUGAUGUAGAGCUUUUCUAGAGCUUUUAUGCGUUCAUGCAUUGAGCACUUAUCUGCUUUGUUAUCAUCCAAGUCAAAUGUCAUUUUCUUUUUAUGCAUAUUGUGUAGUAUUUAACAUUGUGUAGCUAUACAUCACUUGAAGUUCCUUGAAAUAAAGAAGCCAUGAAAGCUUUGAAACUG